rnacentral:hammerhead_ribozyme from 1 species
AUCCAGCUGAUGUGUCUCAAAUAGGACGAAAUGUAUGUCAUACUGGAU